rnacentral:rRNA from 1 species
AUGGCCACCGCGGAGCGAGCCCCGGAGCAGCAGCUCGCUCCGCCGCCGCCGCCGCCGCCCGAGCGCGCCAUGGGGUUCGCGGAGCGGGCCGUCGCGGCGGCCGGCGCCGCCGUCGUCUCCGCCGUCCUCGUCAACCCCCUCGACGUCGCCAAGACGAGACUACAGGCACAGGCCGCUGGAGUUGUCUACAAUCCGAUAUGGUCAGAUUUUAGGUGCUAUCCAUGGUGUAACCCUGGUGGACUGAAAUUAAGUGGUUUAGGCCCAUCCUGCAGUCCUGAAUGCUUUCAGUAUAGAGGAACAAUGGAUGUGUUCUCUAAGAUCGCUAGACAGGAAGGAAUUUUUAGGCUAUGGAGAGGCACUGCUGCAAGCUUAGCGUUAGCUGUACCAACGGUUGGGAUAUAUCUGCCUUCUUACGACCUGUUGCGCAAUUGGAUUGAGGAAUAUUCAGAUCACAGUUAUCCCAAACUUAGGCCAUAUGCCCCUCUAAUUGCUGGAUCUAUUGCACGAUCAUUGGCAUGUAUAACUUGUUCCCCAAUUGAGUUGGCAAGAACACGUAUGCAGGCGUUCAAGCAAUCAAGUGGUGGAGCAAAACCCCCUGGAAUGUGGAAGACUAUGCUAGGCGUGCUUUCAUCGAGGCAAAGCAUCAGCCACCCUGAGAAUUCUCGGGGAUACCAUCUUCUGUGGACUGGUAUGGGAGCACAACUUGCACGUGAUGUCCCCUUUUCAGCUAUAUGUUGGAUGGUUCUUGAACCAACUAGAAGACACUUAUUGGGAUUAUUAGCUGGUGAGCAAAGCAAUGCCGCAGUUAUCAUGGGGGCAAACUUCUCCGCAGGCUUCAUUGCUGGAGUUAUCUCUUCUGGCGCAACAUGUCCUCUUGAUGUUGCCAAGACACGCAGACAAAUAGAGAAGGAUCCUGCUAGGGUAUUGAGCAUGAACACGAGGCGCAUACUUCUUGAGGUUUGGAGGAAUGAAGGUAUCAACGGCCUAUUCAGGGGCGCAGGCCCUCGCAUGGCACGAGCAGGACCUUCAGUGGGCAUUGUCGUCUCUUCAUAUGAAGUUGUCAAGCACAUCAUGCACAGAAAACAUGCAGAGCUAUGA